AGUGAACGCUGGCGGUAGGCCUAACACAUGCCAGUCGAACGGCAGCACAGUAAGAGCUUGCUCUUACGGGUGGCGAGUGGCGGACGGGUGAGGAAUACAUCGGAAUCUACUUUUUCGUGGGGGAUAACGUAGGGAAACUUACGAUAAUACCGCAUACGACCUACGGGUGAAAGCAGGGGAUCUUCGGACCUUGCGCGAUUGAAUGAGCCGAUGUCGGAUUAGCUAGUUGGCGGGGUAAAGGCCCACCAAGGCGACGAUCCGUAGCUGGUCUGAGAGGAUGAUCAGCCACACGGGAACUGAGACACGGUCCAGACUCCUACGGGAGGCAGCAGUGGGUAAUAUUGGACAAUGGGCGCAAGCCUGAUCCAGCCAUACCGCGUGGGUGAAGAAGGCCUUCGGGUUGUAAAGCCCUUUUGUUGGGAAAGAAAAGCAGCAGGUUAAUACCCCGCUGUUCGGACGGUACCCAAAGAAUAAGCACCGGCUAACUUCGU
rnacentral:rRNA from 1 species